GACAGAGGGUGCAAACGUUGUUCGGAAUUACUGGGCGUAAAGCGCGUGUAGGCUGCUUCGAAAGUCGGAUGUGAAAGCCCUGGGCUCAACCUAGGAAGUGCAUUCGAAACUUCGAGCUGGAGUCCUGGAGAGGAAGGCGGAAUUCUCGGUGUAGAGGUGAAAUUCGUAGAUAUCGAGAGGAACACCGGUGGCGAAGGGCGGCCUUACUGGACA
rnacentral:rRNA from 1 species